rnacentral:rRNA from 1 species
UACGUAGGGGGCGAGCGUUGUCCGGAAUCAUUGGGCGUAAAGCGCGUGUAGGCGGCUCGAUAAGUCCGGUGUGAAACCUUGGGGCUCAACCCCAAGCCUGCACUGGAUACUGUCGAGCUAGAGUCCGGGAGGGGAGAGCGGAAUUCCUAGUGUAGCGGUGAAAUGCGCAGAUAUCGGGAAGAACACCCGUGGCGAAGGCGGUUCUCUGGGACGGUACUGACGCUGAGACGCGAAAGCGUGGGGAGCGAACAGG